rnacentral:rRNA from 1 species
AACGUAGGAGGCAAGCGUUAUCCGGAAUCACUGGGCGUAAAGGGCGUCUAGGCGGGUUCUUAAGCGUGGUGUGAAAGCUCCUGGCUCAACUGGGAGAGUGCGCCGCGAACUGAGGGUCUAGAGGGCAGGCGAAGGGGGUGGAAUUCCCGGUGGAGUGGUGAAAUGCGUAGAGAUCGGGAGGAACACCAGAGGCGAAAGCGGCCUCCUAGCCUGUUUCUGACGCUGAAGCGCGAAAGCGUGGGGAGCAAACGGG